GACGAACGCUGGCGGCGUGCUUAACACAUGCAAGUCGAACGAUGAAGCCUUUCGGGGUGGAUUAGUGGCGAACGGGUGAGUAACACGUGGGCAAUCUGCCCUGUACUUUGGGAUAAGCCUUGGAAACGAGGUCUAAUACCGGAUAUGGAUGAGUCCUCGCAUGGGGGUUUGUUGAAAGUUCCGGCGGUACAGGAUGAGCCCGCGGCCUAUCAGCUUGUUGGUGGGGUAAUGGCCUACCAAGGCGACGACGGGUAGCCGGCCUGAGAGGGCGACCGGCCACACUGGGACUGAGACACGGCCCAGACUCCUACGGGAGGCAGCAGUGGGGAAUAUUGCACAAUGGGCGAAAGCCUGAUGCAGCGACGCCG
rnacentral:rRNA from 1 species